rnacentral:rRNA from 1 species
UACGGGGGGGGCAAGCGUUGUUCGGAAUCAUUGGGCGUAAAGCGCGUGUAGGCGGUUCAGUAAGUCUGCUGUGAAAGUCCAGGGCUCAACCCUGAGAUGCCAUUCGAUACGGGACGGCUAGAGGUAGGUAGGGGAGAUUGGAAUUCCUGGUGUAGCGGUGAAAUGCGCAGAUAUCAGGAGGAACACCGGUGGCGAAGGCGGAUCUCUGGGCCUUACCUGACGCUGGAGGAGCGAAAGCGUGGGGAGCGAACAGG